AUUUAAUCAAUACCUUCUCCUCUACGCUAUUACGCAUUGAUGUUUCGUGCUUCUACUAUAGCCUUAGCGAAAUAAGUGUACAGAAGGACAAAUGGAUAUUAGACGUUUCUUUAGAAAAAAAAGGGCAGAGCAGGGACAAGAAGUGGAAACUCACAGUGUGUCAUCAUCUCCCGCAACCCAGGAGGACAUUUCGAUCAGCUCAGGUUCGUGAAACGCAGCCCUCAAAGACAACAUUGAUCAAUGCUGGUCUGAUGUUACUAGCUAGCAGGCUACCACUGCACCUCACUAACUUGAAGGACACUUUGUUUGAAAGAGACA